rnacentral:misc_RNA from 1 species
AACGGUCUAUACCUGCGGUACCUGCGGAAGGAUCAUUACCGAGUUUACAACUCCCAAACCCCUGUGAACAUACCACUUGUUGCCUCGGCGGAUCAGCCCGCUCCCGGUAAAACGGGACGGCCCGCCAGAGGACCCCUAAACUCUGUUUCUAUAUGUAACUUCUGAGUAAAACCAUAAAUAAAUCAAAACUUUCAACAAUGGAUCUCU